CUAGAUUAGUUUAACAUGUGAAAUGUCCGUAAAGUAUCAUCACAUGAUUGGCUUUAGGGCACAUUUCCAACAAAAUACACACUUCAGCCGCACCAUUCAGAGAACCACACACACAAGAGCCUAAAAAUCAAAAAAACAUAUUUGUGCCGCAACUUUGCAAGGAAGUAAGGAGAAGAAGAAGCUUGGAGCCAUGCUUGCCAUUCAAGACUUUUAGAUUGCUGGAGCGUUUCUAGGUGUAUUCUAUCUUUUGUUUUCAAUGUUUAAUUUUAAUUGUCUUUGUUUAAUUGCAAACAUGAGGAACUAAUUUCAUUUUAGCUAGAGGAGAAUUCAAAGCCAUAAACAUGUAUUGCAUAUGAAAUGAUUACAUUCAGUUAUUGUUUCAUGAAUUGUGAAUGCGAUUUGCUUAACUGUUUGAUUCAGAACUUAUUCUUGUAUGUUGAUAACGGAGGUCUACUUAGUUUGCAUGCAUGAAUUUGAUGCUAAAAUAUAAGGGAGUUUCACCUACUAGUUAUGAACUUAUAUUUACAAGUAGUGGAGAUUGCUAGUCAAGAUCACGUUAAGUAAAAUCCUGGCAGGAGUAUCAUGUUGUUUAUAGUUACGAAUGCCUUGUCAAUGCUUAUGAUUUUCACAAGAACUUUAUGAUCUUUGAUAUGUAUCUCUAUCAUGAUGUUCGUGUAGGGAACUUGAUAAGAAUAAUUUGGUUGCGACGUUGAGUCUGAUUCAAUGAACUUAGGAAAAUCUGAGGGUUACUUAGUGUUGUCCACAGUUAAUCUGGGGUGUUGUCAUUCAUGGUCAAUAGGAAUAAUAACUGGAAAUCGAUUCGUAUGCAUAUGUGUCAUGUGUGGGGAUGAGCCCUCUGGCUAGCCAUUCACCCAUUAAAACACCCAAUUUUGUCCAAAGUUGUUUAGAGUCUUUAAAUCAGUUUGCUUUUACUUUAAAUUCGUCAAAAACCACUCCCCCCUUUAUAUUUUUUGUCUUUUAGUUAGAAUCUGUCCAAACUAGUUUCUUUUAGUAUUUUGAGUCAACAUAAGUUAGAAUUCGUCCAUACACAUUGUUUUGAGUCUUUUUAAUUCAAUUUUCGUCCAAAGUCAUCCUUAGUGUUAGUUUUGAGUCGAUUUGUUUGUUUUGUGUAGUUUUGAGUAGUUUGAGUCAAUCUUGAGUCAUAAGAGUCUAGUUAAGUGUAAUUGAGUCUAAUUUGAGUAGAUUAGCAGUCUCUCCUAAUCCUCGGCCUAGAACGAUCCCUACUUAUCCAUAUGAUGCGAAAUAUGUAAGCACACAAAUUAAACCCUCUUGUUGACAAUUGUAGUAUUGAUGCGAGAAUUACUUGACACACAAAUUAAACCCUCUUUUGACAAUUGUAGCAAAGUAUGUAAGUAGGGAUCGU
rnacentral:lncRNA from 1 species